GGAGAUUGCAUCAUGCUUUAUUACCAGGUGUGUACAUACAUUGCACACACACAGUAGAUCGGCAAAUCCCAAAAUGCCAAAAAGAUGAAAUGCCGAAAAGCCAAAAUUUUGCCUACAAUAGACUUGCGAGUGCAUGAACACAUGUAAGGGGAAACGGAUAGGUUAUCAGAGGCCCCACGGGCAAUACCAUGGACUUGGGUCGUGUAUUGUCC
rnacentral:lncRNA from 1 species